rnacentral:tRNA from 1 species
GGGCUCAUAGCUCAAUAGGAUAGAGCACCAGAUUUCUAAUCUGGGGGUUGUUGGUUCGAUCCCAACUGGGCCCA